rnacentral:lncRNA from 1 species
GCCACGUAAGAGGUGACUUUGCUGCUCCUCCGCCUUCCACCAUGAUUGUGAGGCCUCCCCAGCCAUGUGGAACUAUCUUUGCAUGUUCUGUCCAGCAAGUUCUCUCUCCAUGAAGACCAUACCACCUAAAGUGACCCCAUCUCAGUCUGUCUGUUGUGAAAAUUUGACAUAUCCCCAGACUGGACUGAGUGAGCUGCUUUAGGAAGCUGUAUGUUUUUGGAAUUUAAUUCAAAUUUAAAUGAGGUUUCCUGCAUGUUUGGACAUUAUACCUCAGAGCCGUGGGUGCCAGAGCCCUGUCCUAUGAAUGUGUCUCUUCUGAAAAUUGCUCUAGGGAUUGGUUUUACUGAUUGGACAAAAAAUAUUUUGAACCAAUUAUAACAAAAUAGCUCAUUUCUCUUUUAUAUACAUCAUGCAAUGUCUUCACAAUCAGAUUAUGAGAUCUCUAAUUACAGAAGAGGAUUUUUAUAUUUCCUACUAGCAAACAUUUGUCCACAAAAGUUAUGAAAAACAGCUGUUAUCUGGAAUGUGGCUUGAAAUAUAUCCUGUUACUCUAAAAUGGUAUUGAUAUGAUUUAUAGUUGUCCUAUUGCAGCGAUUUUAUAAGAACUCAAUCCACAGCUCUUCUAACAUGUCUUGACAGCUUUAUUGAGAUACAAUUUACACAUUAAAAAACUGCAUGCAUUUAAUAUGUACAAUUUGAAUAUUUUUGGCAUAUCUAUGCCCAUAGGAAUUUAUCAUCUACAACCAAGAAAAUCAACAUCUCCAUCAGUCCCCUAAAUUUUCUUCUGUCCCUAUGUAAUCCCUCUUCCUACCUGCCAUCACUAGGUGGUAUGGGCUAAAUUGUGCACUGCCCAUCCCCUCCCCUCCCAUUUUAUAUGUUGAAGUCCUAAUCCCUAGCACCUCAAAACAUGACUGUGUUUGGAAACAGGCCUUCAAAGAGGUGAUUAAGCUACAACAAGGCUGUUAGGAUGAACCCUAAUCUGAUCUGACUGGUGUUCCUAUAAGAAAAGAAAAUUAAGACACACAAAGAGAUACCAGGGUAUAUUUACACAUAGAGGAGACCGCGUGAGGUACAAAGAGAGAAGGCAGCCAUCUGCAAGCUAACAAAAGAAAUCUCAGAAUGAAAUCAACCCACCAACACCUGAUUUCAGACUUCUAGCUUCUGAAACUGAGAGAAAAUAUCUGUUGUUUAAACCAUCAGUCUGUGGUACUUUCUUAGAGCAGCCCUAGCAAACUAUCAUACCAGGCAACCACUGACUAGCCUUCUGUCACUAUAGAUUAGAUUGUAUUUUCUGGAAUUUUAUAUAAAUGUACUCUUUUGGUCUGGCUUGUUUCAUUCAGUAUAAGUUAUUUGAGAUCCAUCCAUGUUGGGUUGUAUCAAUAAUUCAUUCCUUUUUAUUAUUAAUAUUUUGUUGAAUGGAUAUACCACAGUUUAUUCAUCCAUUUAUUUGUUACUGGACAUUUAGGUUGUUUUCUGGUUGAACUGUUACAAAUCAAGCUUCUAUGGACAUUUAUUUACAAGUCUUUUAUGAAUAUGUGCUUUCUUUGAUCUUGGGUAAAUAUCCAAGGUUGGAAUGGCUGGGUCAUAUGAUAGGAGUAUGCUAACCUCUUUAAGAAACUGCUAAACUAUUUUCCAAAAAUUGUACCAUUUUACAUUCCCACCAGCAGUCUUUGAGAGCUCCAGUUGCUCCGUAUCUUUGCCUAAAACUAGUAUGGUCCAUCUUUUUUAAUGUAAUUGUUCUAAUAGGUAUAUAACAGUAUGCUAUUGUGCUUUUUAAAUUUGCAUUGUAUUAUGACAGUGGUAUUGAUGAUCAUCUUUUCAUUGCUUAUUUACCGAAGUACAUCUUUUUUGGUAAAGUGUUUACAUUUUUGCAUUCUUUUUUGAGUUGUUUUUUUAUUACUGAGUUUUGCAGUUUUUAAGUAUAUUCUG